UGGGGAAUAUUGCACAAUGGGGGAAACCCUGAUGCAGCGACGCCGCGUGAACGAAGAAGGUAUUCGUAUCGUAAAGUUCUGUCCUAUGGGAAGAUAAUGACAGUACCAUAGAAGAAAGCUCCGGCUAAAUACGUGCCAGCAGCCGCGGUAAUACGUAUGGAGCGAGCGUUGUCCGGAAUUAGUGGGCGUAAAGGGUACGCAGGCGGUUUAAUAAGUCGAAUGUUAAAGAUCGGGGCUCAACCCCGUAAAGCAUUGGAAACUGAUAAACUUGAGUAGUGGAGAGGAAAGUGGAAUUCCUAGUGUAGUGGUGAAAUACGUAGAGAUUAGGAGGGAUACCAGUAGCGAAGGCGACUUUCUGGACACAAACUGACGCUGAGGUACGAAAGCGUGGGGAGCAAACAGG
rnacentral:rRNA from 1 species